UUCCUCUUCGACUCUGGAACGGUUGUCAUCUCUCACAGUGAACAGACUCCUGAAUGAACCUGAGAAAUGAUAUGCAUGAGGAGAUUAGCUUUUUUUCUUUUCUCUUUUCUUUUUUCAUUUCCCUUUUUUUUAUUGCAUUAUUUUUUGAAAAUAAACAUGCUAUGAUGCAAAUGAUGCAAUUAUGACUGGUUGGUUGUGUAUCACGGAGCACAGGAUCAAAACUUCGGCAUCGGAACCGGAACCCAC
rnacentral:lncRNA from 1 species